rnacentral:rRNA from 1 species
GNGGCGAAGAAGGUCUUCGGAUUGUAAAGCUCUGUUGCCGGGGAAAAAGGAAGGAAAGAGGAAAUGCUUUUCUUUGGAUGGUACCCGGCCAGAAAGUCACGGCUAACUACGUGCC